rnacentral:lncRNA from 1 species
GGGCCGUUCCCCUUUCCUCAGCUGUACCGCUAUGGUUUCAGGGCGGCAACGUGCGGUGUCCUUACCUUGAGCCUGUGCAGUUCUCCGCACCAUAGUCACUGUGGCGAGGCGGAAGGACUUGGGCGGAAGGUAGCCUUCCAGUCCCACACGCUGCGGGUCCGCGCCGGUCCAAGCCACCUCGACCUGUGAAGUUGGGGGCGGUACCCAGGAACUCACCCUGUGCAGCCGCCGUUUCCAAGGGGUCAGGAACCGCUGUGUUUGUUUCGUCCGCGUAGCCAGGGCCGGUCCCAGAGCACUGUGCCUGACCCGACGGUGACCAAGCCUGACGCGUCAGCUAGAGACCAGUGUCAGGUGUAGGAGUCGCAGUCUGGGCUGCUGGGUAGACUUGGCUUUCUCUUACAGCAUGUCAUUUUCAAAAUGCACCGUGGUGCCUCUGCCUUAAGUCCUAUAGGAAGACCCUGCCGCAUUUAGACUGGUGCUUAUGGUCGUCACUGUUGUUCUGAUUCAGGUCCCGUGUCAUUGAGCAUAUGUAUAAAAAUGCCUUAAUAAAGAACCAUGGAGAAGUAUGUUAGACUACAGAAGAUUGGAGAAGGUUCAUUUGGAAAAGCUGUUCUUGUUAAAUCUACAGAGGAUGGCAGACAUUAUGUCAUCAAGGAAAUUAACAUCUCAAGAAUGUCCGAUAAAGAAAGAGAAGAAUCAAGGAGAGAGGUCGCAGUGUUGGCAAACAUGAAGCAUCCAAAUAUUGUCCAAUACAAAGAAUCAUUCGAAGAAAAUGGCUCUCUCUACAUAGUAAUGGAUUACUGUGAAGGAGGUGAUCUGUUUAAACGAAUAAAUGCUCAGAAAGGCACUUUGUUUCAAGAAGAUCAGAUUUUGGACUGGUUUGUUCAGAUAUGUUUGGCUUUGAAGCAUGUACACGAUAGAAAAAUUUUCACCGAGACAUAAAGUCACAGAACAUAUUUCUAACCAAAGAUGGGACAGUGCAGCUUGGAGAUUUUGGAAUUGCUCGAGUUCUCAAUAGUACUGUAGAGCUGGCUCGAACUUGCAUAGGGACUCCAUACUACUUGUCACCUGAAAUCUGUGAAAACAAGCCUUACAACAAUAAAAGUGACAUUUGGGCUUUGGGCUGUGUCCUUUAUGAGUUGUGUACACUUAAACAUGCAUUUGAAGCUGGAAACAUGAAAAACCUGGUACUGAAGAUAAUAUCUGGAUCCUUUCCUCCAGUGUCUCUACAUUAUUCCUAUGAUCUCCGCAGCUUGCUCUCUCAGCUGUUUAAAAGAAAUCCUAGGGAUAGACCAUCAGUCAACUCCAUAUUGGAGAAAGGCUUUAUAGCUAAACGAAUCGAAAAGUUUCUCUCACCUCAGCUUAUUGCAGAAGAAUUUUGUCUGAAAACAGUUUCAAAGUUUGGACCACAGCCUAUCCCAGGUAAAAGACCAGCAUCAGGACAAGGUGUCAGUUCUUUUGUCCCUGCUCAGAAAAUCACAAAGCCUUCUGCUAAAUAUGGAGUGCCUAUAACAUAUAAGAAGUACGGAGAUAAAAAGUUACUUGAAAAAAAACCACCCCCAAAGCAUAAGCAGGCCCAUCAGAUUCCAGUGAAGAAAAUGAAUUCUGGAGAAGAAAGGAAGAAAAUGUCUGAGGAAGCAGCAAAAAAACGAAGGUUGGAAUUUAUUGAGAAAGAAAAGAAGCAAAAGGAUCAGAUCAGGUUCCUGAAGGCUGAGCAGCUGAAGAGGCAAGAGAAGCAGCGGUUGGAGAGGAUAAAUAGGGCCAGGGAACAAGGAUGGAGGAAUGUUUUAAGGGCUGGUGGAAGCGGUGAAGUAAAGGCUUCCUUUUUUGGCAGUGGAGGAGCUGUGUCUCCAUCACCUUGUUCUCCUCGGGGCCAGUAUGAACAUUACCAUGCCAUCUUUGACCAAAUGCAGCAGCUAAGAGCAGAAGAUAAUGAAGCGAGAUGGAAAGGGAGAAUAUAUGGUCGAUGGCUCCCUGAAAGGCAAAAAGGACACCUAGGUGUAGAGAGAGCCAAACAAGUGGAAGAAUUCCUACAGCGUAAACAAGAAGCUAUGCAGAAUAAAGCCCGAGCAGAAGGACAUGUGGUUUAUCUGGCAAGACUGAGGCAAAUAAGACUACAAAAUUUUAAUGAGCGCCAACAGAUUAAAGCCAAACUUCGUGGUGAGAAUAAAGAAGCUGGUGGUACCAAAGGACAAGACGCAACUGAAGAGGCUGACAUGAGGCUCAAAAAGAUGGAGUCACUUAAGGCCCAAGCAAAUGCACGUGCUGCUGUACUAAAAGAACAGCUAGAGCGAAAAAGAAAGGAAGCUUAUGAAAGAGAAAAGAAAGUGUGGGAAGAACAUUUGGUGGUGAGGGUAAAAAGCUCAGAUGUCCCUCCAUCUAUGGAGCAUCAUGAAGCAGGUGGUUCUCCAUCACAGCAGCAGAUGAAACCUGUUAUUUCUGUGACUUCAGCUUUGAAAGAAGUGGGCCUGAACAUACUGUGGGAGAGGUUAUUAAGUUAGAUUCUAGUGGCUCUCCAAGAAAAGUCUGGGGGAAAAGCCCUACAGAUUCUGUGCUGAAGAUACUUGGAGAAGCUGAAUUACAGCUACAGACAGAACUACUAGAAAACACGCCUUUUAAAAGUGAGGUUUGUGUUGAAGAGGAGAACUACAAACCCCUACUCACUGGAGAAGAGAAUCUGCAGUGUAUUUCAAAAGAAGUAAACCCAUCAGCCACUGUUGAUACUGAAACAAACAGUCCAAAGUUUGCUAAGGUGUCUCCAGCAAUGUCCGAAGGAAAUGUGGAAGAACCUGAUGAUUUGGAAACAGAAGUUCUACAAGAGCCAAGUGCCAUACCCUCAGAUGGGAGUUUGCCGCCUGUUGUUAAUGAGGUGUGGACCAGAGCUAAGGCAACUGGGUUGGAGGAUAGCAUUGCUGUGCAGCAGAAUGACGUUUGUGAAGAGCGAAUUCCAGGGACUGUGGACCAGUCCUGUAAGGAUCAUAUAGAACCUGCAGGAAACGAUUCUCCGCAGUCUGGCUGUGAUGAAGAGAAGUCAGUACAGCCAGAAUUGUUUUUCCAGAAAGUGGUUCACUCCAAGGACUUGAACUUAGUUCAGUCAGCUCAUCGUUCCCCAGAAGAAGCAAUUCCAAUUCGAUCUCACUCUGAUUCUCCACCAAAAGCUAAAAGCAAGAAUUCCCUACUGAUUGGACUUUCCACUGGUCUGUUUGAUGCAAACAACCCAAAGGCAAAUGCUGAGGACCUGUUCACUUCCAGACCUUUCCAAGCUCUUCAGAACCCUAAUGGAUGUUCCCACUGUGGGAGACGUUCAUCAAGACAGUCUUGAAAUAGAGGAGCUUGAGGAUGAACAUAUUAAAGAAGGGCCCUCGGAUUGCGAGGACAUUGUAUUUGAAGAAACUGACACAGAUUUACAGGAGCUUCAGGCCUCAAUGGAGCAGCUGCUUAGGGAGCAACCCGGUGACGAAUACAGUGAGGAGGAAGAGUCUGUCUUAAAAAGCAGCAAUGUGGAGCGGGCAGCAAGAGGGACAGAUGUCCCAGAUGAGGAGGACAACCCCAGCAGUGAAAGCGCCCUAAACGAGGAAUGGCACUCAGAUAACAGUGAUGCUGAGACUACUAGUGAGUGUGAAUAUGACAGUGUCUUUAACCAUUUAGAGGAACUAAGACUUCACUUGGAACAAGAAAUGGGCUUUGAAAAGUUCUUUGAGGUCUAUGAGAAAGUAAAGGCUAUUCAUGAGGAUGAAGAUGAAAAUAUUGAAAUUUCUUCAACCAUAGUCGAGAACAUCUUGGGCACUGAGCAUCAGCACCUUUAUGCCAAGAUUCUGCAUCUAGUCAUGGCAGACGGAGCCUAUCAGGAAGAUAAUGAUGAAUAAACCUCAGGACAUUCUUUAAUAGUCAACUAUAAGAACACAUUUGAACUUGGCUCAUAAUACAAGCUUCCUGGGAAAUAGACAUUAUUUAUGAAAAAAACAGAUUUAAGACGGGAAUGCUUAUUGCAUGAAAAAAAUUGAGAAGUGUGGUUUUUUUUUCCUCACAUUUUAUCUACUUUAUUUUGUUGAUUGGAUUCUACAGCUGACUCUCAUAGAAUGUAUGUUUCUUUAAAUUACCCCACCAAAGCAUUGACUCAGAACUGGAAAUUUACCAUGCAAUAGGAACUACUUUUGUGGAAGAAUUGCCUAUAUCAAAAAGGCCUGCUUUUGGGUGUUUCAUUUAAAUUUCAGCAUGCCUUUUUUUUUUUUUUUUUUUUUUUUUUUUUUGUCCCUGUCUAGCAUUUUCAUCCUGGCUAGCAUUUCUACAUCAACUCUUGUCAAGGGCUCUGUUCAAAUCUCUACAUUUAGAAGAUGAAAUUCUAGCCUUGAAGUUUGUUUUCUUUAGUUUUUAUCCACCACUGGCCCUCCCUGAGCUAGCCCGGUGGGAACAGGCCAUAGAAGCAAUCCUAAAAAUCACUAAGAUUUGGUAUUGAAGGAUAGCAAGGUUGUAUUCCCUGACACUUCAACGUUCCUUACUUCUUCUGUCUCUAUAGACCAGAAGCGCUGUAUCUAAAAAUCAGGCUGUAAGUUUAAACCUAGCAGAUAGCAUAAAAUUGCCUUUUUAUUUUUUAACUCCUUGCAUACAUGUGCCUCAGUGGUUGCCUGUGUUCAGAAGGAGAGAGGGGCCUUUUUCUUUUGGCACUGUGGCAGUUUAGUAACUGCUAUGGGGAAAUGUUUCCUAUUCUUUUCAGUGUGAGGAUUUAACCAGGUCAGUACAAUGAUGGUCACAUAGUUUCAGUUAUGUGAACCUAUACAUAGAAACAGUUAUAGUUUCCAAAUUUGCCAAGUAUACAUGGUGUCAUUAUCUACAAUCCAGACAUUCCUAAUAAAAUAAAAGCAGAAAUGUGGGCUUCUUGGUACCAAUCAGCCUGAUUGGUGUAACCUGUCAUCUGAAAUGUGGACUCUUACCUUGUAGCACUAUUAGUACUGUAUUGACUUUAUUAUGUAUAUUAUUUCUAACAUCCAAAAGUAAAUAGUUGAUUUUUAUAUUUUUAUUUUGUACUAUUAAAUUUUUAUUAUGUAUCUGAA